rnacentral:rRNA from 1 species
AACGAACGCUGGCGGCAUGCCUAACACAUGCAAGUCGAACGAGACCUUCGGGUCUAGUGGCGCACGGGUGCGUAACGCGUGGGAAUCUGCCCUUGGGUUCGGAAUAACAGUGAGAAAUUACUGCUAAUACCGGAUAAUGACGUAAGUCCAAAGAUUUAUCGCCCAAGGAUGAGCCCGCGUAGGAUUAGCUAGUUGGUGAGGUAAAGGCUCACCAAGGCGACGAUCCUUAGCNGGUCUGAGAGGAUGAUCAGCCACACUGGGACUGAGACACGGCCCAGACUCCUACGGGAGGCAGCAGUGGGGAAUAUUGGACAAUGGCGAAAGCCUGAUCCAGCAAUGCCGCGUGAGUGAUGAAGGCCUUAGGGUGUAAAGUCUUUAACGGGAAGAUAAUGACGGUACCGUAGAAUAAGCCCCGGCUAACUUC